rnacentral:tRNA from 1 species
GCCUGGGUGGCUCAGUCAGUUGAGCAUCUGACUUCAGCUCAGGUCAUGAUCUCACAGUCUGUGAGUUCGAGCCCUGCGUCAGGCU